UGGUUGUGUGCAGGCUGGGUGCAGUCAGUGUGUUUGUGCAGUGUUUUUUCCUCCUACUCAGGGUGUGACUGGCAGGUGCUGCGGCGCAGCUGUUGCUCAUCAGCGAGCAAUCACCCGGGCUCAAAAGGAGUGGAGAUCCAGAAGGAGGCGUCAGCUCGUUGUCUCACAAGCAUGGAAAUGUUUCUGUGGGCUUAAUGUCUCCUGCCAUGUACAGAUGAAUGUGGAAAUUCAAGCCUCAAAGAACCUUGGCCGUAAGUCUCCUUUCUGCCUCCGUCCUGGACCCAGGCUUCUGGAAAUAACUUUUUAUCAAGCUUCUGAGAACCAUCCACCUGCCUGUCAACCCUCCCACAGAUCAUCGUUUCCCCAUGGGGCCCGCCGAAUGGAGUAAAGCACAAAGUCAGAAGAACGAGGAAGUACUUUUCUCUGCUGCUGUAACCUCCUGUCAACCUCAACCAUCGUUAUGCUGUCCUCGCCCCGAGUUCUUUAAUUUUCACCAGCUAGACAGCAAGAUAAUGAUGCUAAAAUAAACAGACUUCUCUUUC